rnacentral:rRNA from 1 species
GACGAACGCUGGCGGCGUGCUUAACACAUGCAAGUCGAACGGUGAAGCUCCAGCUUGCUGGAGUGGAUCAGUGGCGAACGGGUGAGUAACACGUGAGCAACCUGCCCCUGACUCUGGAAUAAGCGCUGGAAACGGCGUCUAAUACUGGAUACGAGAAGGGUCCGCAUGGGCACUUUCUGGAAAGUUUUUCGGUUGGGGAUGGGCUCGCGGCCUAUCAGCUUGUUGGUGAGGUAAUGGCUCACCAAGGCGACGACGGGUAGCCGGCCUGAGAGGGCGACCGGCCACACUGGGACUGAGACACGGCCCAGACUCCUACGGGAGGCAGCAGUGGGGAAUAUUGCACAAUGGGCGAAAGCCUGAUGCAGCGACGCCGCGUGAGGGAUGACGGCCUUCGGGUUGUAAACCUCUUUCAGCAGGGAAGAAGCGACAGUGACGGUACCUGCAGAAGAAGCACCGGCUAACUACGUG